GACGAACGCUGGCGGCGUGCCUAAUACAUGCAAGUCGAGCGCAGGAAACUGACGGAACUCUUCGGAGGGAAGGCAGUGGAAUGAGCGGCGGACGGGUGAGUAACACGUAAGGAACCUGCCUCAAGGAUUGGGAUAACUCCGAGAUAUCGGAGCUAAUACCGGAUAGUUCAACGGACCGCAUGGUCCGCUGAUGAAAGGCGCUUCGGCGUCACCGGGAGAUGGCCUUGCGGUGCAUUAGCUAGUUGGUGGGGUAACGGCCCACCAAGGCGACGAUGCAUAGCCGACCUGAGAGGGUGAUCGGCCACACUGGGACUGAGACACGGCCCAGACUCCUACGGGAGGCAGCAGUAGGGAAUCUUCCACAAUGGACGAAAGUCUGAUGGAGCAACGCCGCGUGAGUGAUGAAGGUUUUCGGAUCGUAAAACUCUGUUGUAAGGGAAGAACACGUACGAGAGGGAAUGCUCGUACCUUGACGGUACCUUACGAGAAAGCCACGGCUAACUACGUGCCAGCAGCCGCAGUAA
rnacentral:rRNA from 1 species